rnacentral:rRNA from 1 species
AAUGAACGCUGGCGGCGUGCUUAACACAUGCAAGUCGUACGAGAAAUCCGCCUUCGGGUGGAGAGUAGAGUGGCGCACGGGUGAGUAACGCGUGGGUAAUCUACCCUCGAAUUGGGGAUAACAUACCGAAAGGUGUGCUAAUACCGAAUAAGACCACGAUCACUCCGGUGAUCGGGGUCAAAGAUGGCCUCUGCUUGCAAGCUGUCGUUUGAGGAUGAGCCCGCGUACCAUUAGCUUGUUGGUGGGGUAAUGGCCUACCAAGGCAACGAUGGUUAGGUGGUCUGAGAGGAUGGCCAGCCACACUGGAACUGGAACACGGUCCAGACUCCUACGGGAGGCAGCAGUGAGGAAUUUUGCGCAAUGGGGGAAACCCUGACGCAGCAACGCCGCGUGAGUGAAGAAGGCCUUCGGGUUGUAAAGCUCUGUCAAGUGGGAAGAAUCUUUCUCGAUCGAAUAAGUCGAGGGACUGACGGUACCGCUGAAGGAAGCACCGGCUAACUCCGUGCCAGCCGCCGCAGUAACAC